AAGGGUUGGGCUGUUCGCCCAUUAAAGCGGCACGCGAGCUGGGUUCAGAACGUAGUGAGACAGUUCGGUCCAUAUCCGGUAUACGCGCAAGAGAUUUGAACGGAGUCUUCCUUAGUACGAGAGGACCGGGAAGAGGGGACCUCCAGUGUACGGGUUAUCGCGCCAGCGGUAAACGCCCGGUAGCUGUGUUCCAAGCGGAUAAGUGCUGAAAGCAUAUAAGUACGAAGCCCACCGUAAGAUGAGAUCUCUCAUGACACAAGUCAGUAAGUCCCCGUGCAGAUUACACGGUUGAUAGGUCAGAGAUGUAAGAAUGGCAACAUUUUCAGUCGACUGAUACUAAUAGGACGAGGGCUUUUCCUA
rnacentral:rRNA from 1 species